rnacentral:rRNA from 1 species
AACGUAGGACGCGAGCGUUAUCCGGAGUUACUGGGCGUAAAGCGCGGGCAGGCGGUCUGACAAGUCUGAUGUGAAAUCUCCGGGCUCAACCGGGAGAGGCCAUUGGAAACUGACGGGCUGGAGGGCAGUAGAGGUAGGCGGAAUUCCGGGUGGAGUGGUGAAAUGCGUAGAGAUCCGGAGGAACACCAGUGGCGAAGGCGACUACCUGGCCUGUUCUUGACGCUGAGGCGCGAAAGCUAGGGGAGCAAACGGG